rnacentral:rRNA from 1 species
UGGCGACCGGCGCACGGGUGAGUAACGCGUAUCCAACCUGCCCUUUACUAUGGGACAGCCCGUCGAAAGGCGGAUUAAUACCGUAUGUUGUUCAUGUUGAUGCAUAUUUUCAUGACCAAAGGCUUCGGCCGGUAAAGGAUGGGGAUGCGUCUGAUUAGCUUGCCGGCGGGGUAACGGCCCACCGGGGCGACGAUCAGUAGGGGUUCUGAGAGGAAGGUCCCCCACAUUGGAACUGAGACACGGUCCAAACUCCUACGGAAGGCAGCAG